CGAUGAACCACUUCGGUGGGGAUUAGUGGCGAACGGGUGAGUAACACGUGGGCAAUCUGCCCUGCACUCUGGGACAAGCCCUGGAAACGGGGUCUAAUACCGGAUACUGACCCGCCUGGGCAUCCAGGCGGUUCGAAAGCUCCGGCGGUGCAGGAUGAGCCCGCGGCCUAUCAGCUUGUUGGUGAGGUAACGGCUCACCAAGGCGACGACGGGUAGCCGGCCUGAGAGGGCGACCGGCCACACUGGGACUGAGACACGGCCCAGACUCCUACGGGAGGCAGCAGUGGGGAAUAUUGCACAAUGGGCGAAAGCCUGAUGCAGCGACGCCGCGUGAGGGAUGACGGCCUUCGGGUUGUAAACCUCUUUCAGCAGGGAAGAAGCGCAAGUGACGGUACCUGCAGAAGAAGCGCCGGCUAACUACGUGCCAGCAGCCGCGGUAAUACGUAGGGCGCGAGCGUUGUCCGGAAUUAUUGGGCGUAAAGAGCUCGUAGGCGGCUUGUCGCGUCGGUUGUGAAAGCCCGGGGCUUAACCCCGGGUCUGCAGUCGAUACGGGCAGGCUAGAGUUCGGUAGGGGAGAUCGGAAUUCCUGGUGUAGCGGUGAAAUGCGCAGAUAUCAGGAGGAACACCGGUGGCGAAGGCGGAUCUCUGGGCCGAUACUGACGCUGAGGAGCGAAAGCGUGGGGAGCGAACAGGAUUAGAUACCCUGGUAGUCCACGCCGUAAACGGUGGGCACUAGGUGUGGGCGACAUUCCACGUCGUCCGUGCCGCAGCUAACGCAUUAAGUGCCCCGCCUGGGGAGUAC
rnacentral:rRNA from 1 species